AGGACGGGUGGAGUAAUACAUCGGAACGUGUCCCGUAGUGGGGGAUAGCCCGGCGAAAGCCGGAUUAAUGACCGCAUAUGCUCUACGGAGGAAAGUGGGGGACUCGCAAGGGCCUCACGCUAUGGGAGCAGGCGAUGAUCCGAUUAGCUUGUUGGCCGGGGUAAUGGCCCACCAAAGGCGACGAUCAGGAAGAAUGGUCUGAGAGGAUAGAUCAGACACAAUGGGACUGAGACACGGACCAGACUCCAUACGGGAGGCAGCAGUGGGGAA
rnacentral:rRNA from 1 species